rnacentral:rRNA from 1 species
UAUACUAAGUUGUUGCGGUUAAAAAGCUCGUAGUUGGAUCUAUGAAUGUGAACGCGAGGUCGCUUUAUUGAGUGAACUUUGUGGCGCAUUCUUCCCUUUGGUCGGUGUGUUCGUGCUCUUAAUUGAGUGCGACAUGCUACCAGAAAUUUUACCUUGAAAAAAUUAGAGUGUUCAAAGCAGACCUUUUUGUGUCUGAAUAUUCGUGCAUGGAAUAAUAAAAUAUGAAUUCGGUUCUAUUUUAUUGGUUUUCGGAACUCGAGUUAAUGAUUAAGAGGGACAGACGGGGGCAUCCGUACUCUGCCGUUAGAGGUGAAAUUCUUGGAUCGGCGGAAGACGCGCAACUGCGAAAGCAUUUGCCAAGAAUGUUUUCUUUAAUCAAGAACGAUAGUCGGAGGUUCGAAGACGAUCAGAUACCGUCCUAGUUUCGACUGUAAACUAUGCCAGCUAACGAUCAGACAGCGUUCUCUACGACUUGUCUGGCAGUUUCCGGGAAACCAAAGCUUUUGGGUUCCGGGGGAAGUAUGGUUGCAAAGCUGAAACUUAAAGGAAUUGACGGAAGGGCACCACCAGGAGUGGAGCCUGCGGCUUAAUUUGACUCAACACGGGGAAACUCACCCGGCCCGGACACAGUGAGGAUUGACAGAUUGAGAGUUCUUUCUUGAUUCUGUGGGUGGUGGUGCAUGGCCGUUCUUAGUUGGUGGAGCGAUUUGUCUGGUUAAUUCCGAUAACGAACGAGACUCUGGCAUGUUAAAUAGUCGCGGGAGUAAUUUUAACUCACCAUGAGACUUCUUAGAGGGACAAGUGAUUCUAAUCACACGAGAUUGAGCAAUAACAGGUCUGUGAUGCCCUUAGAUGUUCGGGGCCGCACGCGCGCUACAAUGAGUCGAUCAACGAGCGUAUAUUAUUAUCCAAGUCCGAAAGGUCGAGGUAAUCCGUUGAACCCGACUCGUGCUAGGGAUAGGGAAUUGUAAUUGUUUCCCUUGAACGAGGAAUUCCCAGUAAGCGCAAGUCAUCAGCUUGCGUUGAUUACGUCCCUGCCCUUUGUACACACCGCCCGUCGCUACUACCGAUUGAAUGGUUCAGUGAGAUAAUCGGACAGAUAACUUGGCAACUGGCAACAGUUGACGUGCAUAUUUGGAAGACGAUCAAACUUGGUCAUUU